UGUUGCCACACCGGUGAGAGGCGACAGGGAAGGAGUUCAGAGGGAGCGUUCCAAAGUCGGGAUGAUAAGGUUUCGGCCUAUACAGUUACCAGGUGCUAGGCAACUCGACGCGCACAUACCCGAGCACACACAAUCACCCUUGCGAUGAUGAUGAUAUCCAAACCCAGUUACACGGUGAACACAAAUAUUUAGCAAGAACAGUUUGUGCAUCCUGUGUUUGUGUUCUUUGUCGAUUUAGAAGAAGGCCCGCGAACUAGCUGUGUCAUGUCCUGGUAGUACAUGUUACCGCGUGUCUAGAUAUGAUUAACAACAGAUAUAUAACACUUAUCUUGUAAUGACUGUUAACAUAAACCACAGGCAUUGAUAACUUGAACUUUCAUAAUGCUGCUUCAGGACACCGAAAGAGAAAAGGUUAGGUUUUUUUCAUUUUCAUUUGUAUUUUUUUAUUUUUUUUUGUUCCUUCAUCCAUGUUGGAGCGUUCACUGAAAACAACAGAAUUCCCACAGAUUCCCAAGCCGCUUGGAGAAAUAGGUGAAAGGUCACCGCUGACUCUCCCUCUCUGUUCACGUUCAUGAAUGUGACAUGCAGCUCUUGUUCAACGACGGGCCCGUCCUUGCCCCGGCUGACACACAGCUAACUCAGGCAUGUGUUCAAACGAACAGGGCCUUCAGCCAAUCAAACUUUUGCAUUGUAAACACAGCUGUUUUGUUUAUGGUUUAAAGGCCGAGGCGUGGACAGGUUGACUCAGAUGUUCAGUCUGCUGCGUGUUGAUGCUUGAAACACACAGUAACUUCCGUUGGCAACGGAAAACAGAUACUAAUGUUGUGAUUGGAACACAAUAAACAAUGUUUUCAUUUCAUCAGCUUCUGUGUUUUCAUACUUUUUUAAAGUUAACAUUAUGCAUUAUGGUUGUUUAAAUAAAUCUAAAACCCAGAAUGUUAGAAAUAUGGUAAAUUUCAGUUGUUUAUUUUGACGGGACCUUGUUCACCUCCUUAACAUGUAUUGUUUACAUGUACUGCAGGCCUUAUUUUGGGUGCCUCUCUCUUUUUCUCAGGCCUCUCUGACCCUGCAUAACUGGCUGCUGGCUAAUGAUAAGACAGCAGCCCCCGGAGAUAUGAGGUAAAACCUGCUCGCUGCCUUACUGCUGUACCUCACAGCUCCAGCACCAACGCAGAGGGGUGGAUAUUUUUGCAUGAAUGAUAAUAUUGGCAGCGUCGGAGAGGCGAGAGGGGAAGUUGACAUGAUGACGUAAUCACGACAUCUCACGAUCUUGUCGUCACCAUGAGGUCUUCGAGGCAACCAGUCGCUAAGAGAGUUAGCAUGCAGCUGAAGAACCCCAACCGUAUUUUUUUUUUGUUUUUUUUGUACAAUUUGUUGUGUGUGGAUUAAACAACCAAGAUGACGUCUUUCAGACAUGUUUUUGGCCCUCAUGCCAUGCAUGCAUCCCAUGGGUCUGUCCCUACAAGGCCAGAGCAAACAGGGUCUGGAAGUGGUGUCCUUGGCAAGGGUGCACUGAUAAACACAGCAUGAGUGAGGACAGACUGUGCUCUCCAGAGAGGGGGGGUGACCGUCCCUCAUUCACGCUUCCCUGGAGGAUAUUCGGAAACUUCAUCAAGGGAGCUAUUUUAAAUUCCACAAAGGAUUAAGGAAAACACGGAUGAAGAGAAAACACAGAAUUUCAGCGAUUCGUUUCAGUGGCAUUGCAUUAAAUGUUAAUUUCUCUUUCUGUCUUUCGUGACAUUCAUCCUCACCCACUUUCAUGCUGUUAUUUGCUUUGCAGACAGUUAGCGUGGGAAGGAGAGGAGCUCCUUUCUCAGAUCCCUUGACAAAAACCAAAGCAUGACCUAUAGGCUAUAAAUAACCAAGCAAAACAUUAACAGACAAACUGUGCGUCAAAUACAUUUUCCUUUUCUAUUCAUUCAUCCUGACGUCAAACCAGCACUAAAAACAAGACAUGAUCCCAUUGAG